GUGGAAGUGCAGUGAUGCAUGAAGCUGACCAAUACUAAUUACUCGUGAGGCUUGACUAUACAACACCCAAACAGUUG
rnacentral:rRNA from 1 species